rnacentral:rRNA from 1 species
GGUCAAGCGAAUAAGCGCACACGGUGGAUGCCUUGGCGGUCAGAGGCGAUGAAGGACGUGGCAGCCUGCGAAAAGUAUCGGGGAGCUGGCAACAAGCUUUGAUCCGGUAAUGUCCGAAUGGGGAAACCCACCCGCUUGCGGGUAUCCUGCAGUGAAUACAUAGCUGCUGGAAGCGAACCUGGUGAACUGAAAUAUCUAAGUAACCAGAGGAAAAGAAAUCAACCGAGAUUCCGUAAGUAGCGACGAGCGAACGCGGACUAGCCCUUAAGCUGGAUUGGUUCUAGGAAAACGCUCUGGAAAGAGCGGCCAUAGAAGGUGAUAGCCCUGUAUCUGAAAGGGCCAUUCCAGUGAAGACGAGUAGGGCGGGGCACGUGAAACCCUGUCUGAACAUGGGGGGACCAUCCUCCAAGGCUAAAUACUACUGACCGACCGAUAGUGAACCAGUACCGUGAGGGAAAGGCGAAAAGAACCCCGGAGAGGGGAGUGAAAUAGAACCUGAAACCGUGUGCGUACAAGCAGUAGGAGCUCCGCAAGGAGUGACUGCGUACCUUUUGUAUAAUGGGUCAGCGACUUACUGUUCGUGGCAAGCUUAACCGUAUAGGGGAGGCGAAGGGAAACCGAGUCUGAUAAGGGCGCAUAGUCGCGGGCAGUAGACCCGAAACCGGGUGAUCUAGUCAUGCCCAGGGUGAAGGUGCGGUAACACGCACUGGAGGCCCGAACCCACUCCCGUUGCAAAGGUAGGGGAUGAGGUGUGAUUAGGAGUGAAAAGCUAAUCGAACCCGGAGAUAGCUGGUUCUCCUCGAAAGCUAUUUAGGUAGCGCCUCAUAUGUAUCCUCUCGGGGGUAGAGCACUGUUAUGGCUAGGGGGUCAUCGCGACUUACCAAACCAUUGCAAACUCCGAAUACCGAGACGGACUGUAUGGGAGACACACGGCGGGUGCUAACGUCCGUCGUGAAAAGGGAAACAACCCAGACCCACAGCUAAGGUCCCAAAUUNNNNNNNNNNNNNNNNNNNNNNNNNNNNNNNNNNNNNNNNGAACCGAAGCUUGGGGUGCAUACUUUGUAUGCGCGGUAGAGGAGCGUUCCGUAAGCCGUUGAAGGUGGAUUGAGAAGUCUGCUGGAGGUAUCGGAAGUGCGAAUGCUGACAUGAGUAACGAUAAUGCGGGUGAAAAACCCGCACGCCGAAAGCCCAAGGUUUCCUUGCGCAACGUUAAUCGGCGCAGGGUGAGUCGGCCCCUAAGGCGAGGACGAAAGUCGUAGUCGAUGGGAAGCAGGUUAAUAUUCCUGCACCUCGCGUAAGUGCGAUGGAGGGACGGAGAAGGUUAGGUGUACCAGGCGUUGGUUGUCCUGGGGAAAGGCGGUAGGUUUGGAUCUUUGGCAAAUCCGGGAUCCUCUAAGACCGAGCACCGAGACGAGCCUUUAUGGCGAAGUCACUGAUACCACGCUUCCAGGAAAAGCUCCUAAGCUUCAGCUUACGCAGACCGUACCGUAAACCGACACAGGUGGGUAGGAUGAGAAUUCUCAGGCGCUUGAGAGAACUCGGGUGAAGGAACUAGGCAACAUGGCACCGUAACUUCGGGAGAAGGUGCACCCUUUUUGGUGGCUCGUGCGAGCUAUAGCUGAAGAGGGUCGCAGUAACCAGGCCGCUGCGACUGUUUAUCAAAAACACAGCACUCUGCAAACACGAAAGUGGACGUAUAGGGUGUGACGCCUGCCCGGUGCUGGAAGGUUAAUUGAUGGGGUCAGCCGCAAGGCGAAGCUCUUGAUCGAAGCCCCAGUAAACGGCGGCCGUAACUAUAACGGUCCUAAGGUAGCGAAAUUCCUUGUCGGGUAAGUUCCGACCUGCACGAAUGGCGUAACGACAGCGGCGCUGUCUCCACCCGAGACUCAGUGAAAUUGAAAUCGCUGUGAAGAUGCAGCGUUCCCGUGGCAAGACGGAAAGACCCCGUGAACCUUUACUAUAGCUUUACACUGAACGUUGAGUUCGUCUGUGUAGGAUAGGUGGGAGGCUAUGAAACCAUGGCGCUAGCUGUGGCGGAGCCAUCCUUGAAAUACCACCCUGUCGUGCUUGACGUUCUAACCUGGGCCCAUUAUCUGGGUCGGGGACCGUGUAUGGUGGGUAGUUUGACUGGGGCGGUCUCCUCCUAAAGAGUAACGGAGGAGCUCGAAGGUACGCUCAGCGCGGUCGGACAUCGCGCACUGUGUGCAAAGGCAUAAGCGUGCUUGACUGCAAGAUCGACGGAUCAAGCAGGUAGGAAACUAGGACUUAGUGAUCCGGUGGUUCUGUAUGGAAGGGCCAUCGCUCAACGGAUAAAAGGUACUCCGGGGAUAACAGGCUGAUACCGCCCAAGAGUUCAUAUCGACGGCGGUGUUUGGCACCUCGAUGUCGGCUCAUCACAUCCUGGGGCUGUAGUCGGUCCCAAGGGUAUGGCUGUUCGCCAUUUAAAGUGGUACGCGAGCUGGGUUCAGAACGUCGUGAGACAGUUCGGUCCCUAUCUGCCAUGGGCGUUGGAGAUUUGAGAGGGGCUGCUCCUAGUACGAGAGGACCGGAGUGGACGAACCUCUGGUGUUCCGGUUGUCACGCCAGUGGCAUUGCCGGGUAGCUAUGUUCGGAAGCGAUAACCGCUGAAAGCAUCUAAGCGGGAAGCGCGCCUCAAGAUGAGAUCUCCCGGGGCACAAGCCCCCUGAAGGAACCAUGUAGACUACGUGGUUGAUAGGUCAGGUGUGUAAGUACAGCAAUGUAUUGAGCUAACUGAUACUAAUGAUCCGUGCGGCUUGACCAU